GUCUCAGUAGCACAGUGGUUAGUGCACAGCCUGUGAUAUGUUUAGAUGCGGGUUCGAUUCCCGCCUGAGGAG
rnacentral:tRNA from 1 species